GUCCUUAUUCGACACCAGAAAAAGCAGGUCAGCUGCAUUCAUUCAUAAUUGGGUAUUCAAACAGUUAUCUAACCACAACUAGCAGUUAUGCAUGAACACAUGCAAGCACACAGAGAAACGAUGAUUACAUAUUAGAAUGA